UGGGGAAUAUUGCGCAAUGGACGAAAGUCUGACGCAGCGACGCCGCGUGAGGGAAGAAGGCCUUCGGGUCGUAAACCUCUGUCAGGAGGGAAGAAUCCCCUGGGAUGCAAUAUAUCCUGGGGUUGACGGUACCUCCAGAGGAAGCACCGGCUAACUCCGUGCCAGCAGCCGCGGUAAUACGGAGGGUGCGAGCGUUAAUCGGAAUCACUGGGCGUAAAGCGCACGUAGGCGGCCUGGUAAGUCAGAUGUGAAAGCCCUCGGCUCAACCGAGGAAUUGCAUUUGAUACUGCUAGGCUCGAGUCUCGGAGAGGGUGGCGGAAUUCCGGGUGUAGGAGUGAAAUCCGUAGAUAUCCGGAGGAACACCAGUGGCGAAGGCGGCCACCUGGACGAGUACUGACGCUGAGGUGCGAAAGCGUGGGGAGCAAACA
rnacentral:rRNA from 1 species